rnacentral:rRNA from 1 species
UACGAACGCUGGCGGCGUGCUUAACACAUGCAAGUCGAGCGGAAAGGCCCUUCGGGGUACUCGAGCGGCGAACGGGUGAGUAACACGUGAGCAACCUGCCCCAGGCUUUGGGAUAACCCCGGGAAACCGGGGCUAAUACCGAAUAUGACCUCCGAUCGCAUGGUUGGUGGUGGAAAGUUUUUCGGCUUGGGAUGGGCUCGCGGCCUAUCAGCUUGUUGGUGGGGUGAUGGCCUACCAAGGCGACGACGGGUAGCCGGCCUGAGAGGGCGACCGGCCACACUGGGACUGAGACACGGCCCAGACUCCUACGGGAGGCAGCAGUGGGGAAUAUUGCACAAUGGGCGGAAGCCUGAUGCAGCGACGCCGCGUGAGGGAUGACGGCCUUCGGGUUGUAAACCUCUUUCAGCAGGGACGAAGCGUAAGUGACGGUACCUGCAGAAGAAGCGCCGGCCAACUACGUGCCAGCAGCCGCGGUAAGACGUAGGGCGCGAGCGUUGUCCGGAUUUAUUGGGCGUAAAGAGCUCGUAGGCGGCUUGUCGCGUCGACUGUGAAAACCCGCAGCUCAACUGCGGGCCUGCAGUCGAUACGGGCAGGCUAGAGUUCGGUAGGGGAGACUGGAAUUCCUGGUGUAGCGGUGAAAUGCGCAGAUAUCAGGAGGAACACCGGUGGCGAAGGCGGGUCUCUGGGCC